rnacentral:rRNA from 1 species
GGCCACAUCAGGUUCAAACAUCGGUUCCCGUACGAUCACUGAAGUUAAGAAACGUCGAAACUGGUCAGUACCUAGAUCGGUGACCGCUUGGAAAUACCAGGUGCUGUAA